rnacentral:tRNA from 4 species
GGCCGAGAUAGCUCAGUCGGUAGAGCAGAGGACUGAAAAUCCUCGUGUCAC